CCCCGGGCUCAACCUGGGAACUGCGUUNUGAACUGGGUGACUAGAGUGUGUCAGAGGGAGGUAGAAUUCCACGUGUAGCAGUGAAAUGCGUAGAGAUGUGGAGGAAUACCGAUGGCGAAGGCAGCCUCCUGGGAUAACACUGACGUUCAUGCCCGAAAGCGUGGGUAGCAAACAGGAUUAGAUACCCUGGUAGUCCACGCCCUAAACGAUGUCGAUUAGCUGUUGGGCAGCAUGACUGCUUAGUAGCGAAGCUAACGCGUGAAAUCGACCGCCUGGGGAGUACGGUCGCAAGAUUAAAACUCAAAGGAAUUGACGGGGACCCGCACAAGCGGUGGAUGAUGUGGAUUAAUUCGAUGCAACGCGAAGAACCUUACCUGGUCUUGACAUGUACGGAACCCUCCAGAGACGGAGGGGUGCCUUCGGGAGCCGUAGCACAGGUGCUGCAUGGCUGUCGUCAGCUCGUGUCGUGAGAUGUUGGGUUAAGUCCCGCAACGAGCGCAACCCUUGUCAUUAGUUGCCAUCAUUAAGUUGGGCACUCUAAUGAGACUGCCGGUGACAAGCCGGAGGAAGGUGGGGAUGACGUCAAGUCCUCAUGGCCCUUAUGACCAGGGCUUCACACGUCAUACAAUGGUCGGUACAGAGGGUAGCCAAGCCGCGAGGUGGAGCCAAUCUCACAAAACCGAUCGUAGUCCGGAUUGCACUCUGCAACUCGAGUGCAUGAAGUCGGAAUCGCUAGUAAUCGCAGGUCAGCAUACUGCGGUGAAUACGUUCCCGGGUCUUGUACACACCGCCCGUCACACCAUGGGAGUGGGGGAUACCAGAAGUAGG
rnacentral:rRNA from 1 species